AGCUUUUUUGAGUCCGUGCUGAGAUUUCGUCAGACAUUAACCCUUUAGUGCUGAUCAGACUUUCGAGAUAAGUGAAGUU
rnacentral:pre_miRNA from 1 species